rnacentral:rRNA from 1 species
GUAGGUGGCAAGCGUUGUCCGGAAUUAUUGGGCGUAAAGCGCGCGCAGGCGGUUUCUUUAAGUCUGAUGUGAAAGCCCACGGCUCAACCGUGGAGGGUCAUUGGAAACUGGAGAACUUGAGUACAGAAGAGGAAAGCGGAAUUCCACGUGUAGCGGUGAAAUGCGUAGAGAUGUGGAGGAACACCAGUGGCGAAGGCGGCUUUUCUGGUCUGUAACUGACGCUGAGGCGCGAAAGCGUGGGGAGCAAACAGGGAUUAGAUACCCUGGUAGUCCACGCCGUAAACGAUGAGUGCUAAGUGUUAGGGGGUUUCCGCCCCCUUAGUGCUGCAGCUAACGCAUUAAGCACUCCGCCUGGGGAUACGGCCGCAAGGCUG